ACAAAAACUGAGUUCGAAUGCUCACGCGGCAUGCCCACGUGACUUUACGUUGCACGCACACAUGACUUUCCAUUUGUGCCUUGAAUAAUGAAUAAGUCACCUACCUGUAAUGUAUCUCGGCUAUCAUGUUUUUCCUCUUUUUAUUGACAUUGUGCCCCUUUUUUUUUUCUCUUUUCAGAUCGGAUUUCUUAACUACCAUCCACCCAUAAACAAACACAUUUGACGAAGCAGAACAUAGUCUUCAGAGAUAUCUACGUGAACACUGUGAUACCUCCGACCUUCAGUCCGAAGAAGAAACCCAGACCGGUCUUAAAAGAAAGCAUAAACCAAAUCCCCUGUACACUUAUACGGACUCUGAGGAUGACCAGCCUAAAAAAAAAAACGGUUUCCCCAGGCCCCUGGAGUGAGAAUGCCAGGUAAUAAAAUACUGUCUAGUGUGUACAUAUCUGUGUCUGACACAAGGAAACUUUGUAGACAAGUUGUUUGUAUUCUUAAAUACUUAAAAAAUUAUCUUUUUCUAAACAGCCCCCACCACUCUGCAGUCUGCCUCCCAGCCCACUGAUAGCAACCAUCAUAAUGCCCUGCCCAGCUUCCAGCACCUUUAACCACUCCGGCACAACACACAAACUAGUGAUGUGCGAUACCACUGAUUUCCUUUCCGAUCCGAUACCAAGUAAAAUUCGGGGUGGUAUCGACGAUACUGAUCCGAUACUGAUACUUUGUACAAAAACUUAUUUCUGUGAUAUGAUUUACUCUGAGGUGUUUGACGAGGUUAGUGGUGUUGCCACAACACCUCACUGUCUCGCCACAUGUAUCGCAAACCGUGUCUCGGCUGUUUGUGGAGGUAAAAUACGUCCGUACAUGAUUCCAUUUACGCUCAGCCAUUGUUGUGAAGGGGCUGUGACACAUUUAUACAGCCGUAUUUUGCUCAUGACUAUGAAAGGCGGAAGAGGAAGUAGUUCCUUCCAAUGUAGACGAUGCGAAUGAUAUAGUUUCUUUCCACUGUGUUCCUGUUAAUGAUAAACUACAAAUUUACCCUAAAUUACAAAAAUAUCAAUAUUUUAAUAUGAGAAUCGAUUCUAGAACAUAAAUGACUGGUAUUGGAGGAAUCGAUUUUUCAGUAUCGAUCCGCACAUCACUAACACAAACCGACACAGCUUUGCAAUCUCCCCAGCAUGUAGAGCCUGAUGUCAGUGCCGUCGCUAGAGAUGGUAUGCUUUUAAAAAAGUUAUUAAGAUGCAUCACAAUGUCAUUGGACUCUUAUCUUCAAAACACCAAUUUAUACUGUUUAAUGUCAUCUUGUUUUGAUUUUUUUAGAUUCCAGAGACUCUGUGAGGACUAUU